CGAUUGAAUGGCUCAGUGAGGCCUUCGGACUGGCCCAGGGAGGUCGGCAACGACCACCCAGGGCCGGAAAGUUGGUCAAACUCGGUCAUUUAGAGGAAGUAAAAGUCGUAACAAGGUCUCCGUAGGUGAACCUGCGGAGGGAUCAUUA
rnacentral:rRNA from 24 species